rnacentral:rRNA from 1 species
GACGAACGCUGGCGGCGUGCUUAACACAUGCAAGUCGAACGGAAAGGCCCUGCUUUUGUGGGGUGCUCGAGUGGCGAACGGGUGAGUAACACGUGAGUAACCUGCCCUUGACUUUGGGAUAACUUCAGGAAACUGGGGCUAAUACCGGAUAGGAGCUCCUGCUGCAUGGUGGGGGUUGGAAAGUUUCGGCGGUUGGGGAUGGACUCGCGGCUUAUCAGCUUGUUGGUGGGGUAGUGGCUUACCAAGGCUUUGACGGGUAGCCGGCCUGAGAGGGUGACCGGCCACAUUGGGACGGAGAUACGGCCCAGACGCCUACGGGAGGCAGCAGUGGGGAAUAUUGCACAAUGGGCGGAAGCCUGAUGCAGCAACGCCGCGUGCGGGAUGACGGCCUUCGGGUUGUAAACCGCUUUCGCCUGUGACGAAGCGUGAGUGACGGUAAUGGGUAAAGAAGCACCGGCUAACUACGU